ACGGAAGGCAGCAGUAGGGAAUAUUGGUCAAUGGGGGAAACCCUGAACCAGCGACGCCGCGUGAGUGAAGAGGUAUUUCGGUAUGUAAAGCUCUAUCAGCAGGGACGAUAAUGACGGUACCUGACUAGGAAGCCCCGGCUAACUACGUGCCAGCAGCCGCGGUAAUACGUAGGGGGCAAGCGUUAUCCGGAUUUACUGGGUGUAAAGGGAGCGUAGGUGGCCAUGCAAGUCAGAUGUGAAAACCCGGGGCUCAACCCCGUGACUGCAUUUGAAACUGCGUGGCUGGAGUACAGGAGAGGUAAGCGGAAUUCCUAGUGGAGCGGUGAAAUGCGUAGAUAUUAGGAGGAACACCAGUGGCGAAAGCGGCUUACUGGACUGAAACUGACACUGAGGCUCGAAAGCGUGGGGAGCAAACAGGAUUAGAUACCCUGGUA
rnacentral:rRNA from 1 species